UACAGAGGGUGCGAGCGUUAAUCGGAAUUACUGGGCGUAAAGCGUGCGUAGACGGUUAUUUAAGUCGGAUGUGAAAGCCCCGGGCUCAACCUGGGAAUUGCAUUCGAGACUGAAUAGCUAGGGUGCGGUAGAGGGAAGCGGAAUUUCCGGUGUAGCGGUGAAAUGCGUAGAUAUCGGAAGGAACAUCAGUGGCGAAAGCGGCUUCCUGGACCAGCACUGACGUUCAGGCACGAAAGCGUGGGGAGCAAACAGG
rnacentral:rRNA from 1 species